GACGAACGCUGGCGGCGUGCUUAACACAUGCAAGUCGAACGGAAAGGCCCUGCUUUUGUGGGGUGCUCGAGUGGCGAACGGGUGAGUAACACGUGAGUAACCUGCCCUUGACUUUGGGAUAACUUCAGGAAACUGGGGCUAAUACCGGAUAGGAGCUCCUGCUGCAUGGUGGGGGUUGGAAAGUUUCGGCGGUUGGGGAUGGACUCGCGGCUUAUCAGCUUGUUGGUGGGGUAGUGGCUUACCAAGGCUUUGACGGGUAGCCGGCCUGAGAGGGUGACCGGCCACAUUGGGACUGAGAUACGGCCCAGACUCCUACGGGAGGCAGCAGUGGGGAAUAUUGCACAAGGGGCGGAAGCCUGAUGCAGCAACGCCGCGUGCGGGAUGACGGCCUUCGGGUGGUAAACCGCUUUCGCCUGUGACGAAGCGUGAGUGACGGGAAUGGGUAAAGAAGCACCGGCUAACUACGU
rnacentral:rRNA from 1 species